AGACGGAUGGGCCCUGCUAAUGCGAGGCAUGAGGUCAAACUGCCUGGUCAUAGGUAGGAAAGGAUGAAGACAAGCUAUGGGGAUAGUGGGGAGCCACGGUAGGUAUAGGAGUAGGGCUGUGUCCUCAGGUGGUAGAUCAGGUCCAGCAGGGGCCUUCCAAAGUGCCAUACCCCCCAGGAGUAGUAGGGACACCUGGGGCCAGGGGAGUGCCCUUCCUUGGGGGUAAAUGACCUGUGGAUGGGGAAAAGGGCAGUGAUGGCGCUUGUUUUAUUGUUUCUUCCCACCAGGCCGGCUCGCAGGGGCUGCCCCUGUGCCCAUGAUGGGGAUGGGGAUGCCAAGGCCCAGUGGGAUCUCCCAGGCCCAGAAUGGCAGCAGGGAUGGCUGUCCUUGUCCCAUGCUCCAGGCUGCCCAGUGAAUGCGGGGGUUCCCCAAGCCUGGGUCUUGGGGCCUUUCCAGUCUCUGCACAUUCCCAGGUCACCUGGCACUUGGAGGCACAAGUGCCUUCCAGACCGCUGGCAUCAACUGGAUUUCAGUUCUUGGAGUUGGUAGCAGAGCCUGCAGGUUAAGGGCUCCGUCCCAUGAGCCCGCCCCCCACUCCAGGCACCUGCCACAAGUCUCUGGCCACUGGCUAUGAAUCAGGUGUUCCCACGGCUCCCUCCUAGGUUUGCUUGAAUGGCUUACAGCACUCAGGAGAACACUUCAGCCGCCAAACAGGAGGUAGAUGCUGAAGGCAGGGUGUGGGGAAUGGCACUGGGCGCCCAUGCCCUUCUCCAGGUGAGCCCCCCUCCCACAUUUCCUGUGUUCGCUCAACCUGUGUGGUUUCGGGGGUUUUGUGGAGGUUCCAUUACGUAGGUAUGAUGAAAUCACCAGCCUUUGGCUGUUGCACUCCAUCUCCAGCCAGAAACUAGGGACAAGACCCAAAUACUUAUUACACAAUAUUCCCUGUCCCCAGCCUUGAGGGUCGGCCCUGGUCCCCAGACUGCUGCUCCCCCCAUCCCACCUGGCCACCUUUUCACCUGCCCCUGAACCCAUUCCCCCCAGGU
rnacentral:lncRNA from 1 species